rnacentral:rRNA from 1 species
AUUGAACGCUGGCGGCAGGCCUAACACAUGCAAGUCGAGCGGAUGAAGGGAGCUUGCUCCUGGAUUCAGCGGCGGACGGGUGAGUAAUGCCUAGGAAUCUGCCUGGUGGUGGGGGAUAACGUCCGGAAACGGGCGCUAAUACCGCAUACGUCCUGAGGGAGAAAGUGGGGGAUCUUCGGACCUCACGCUAUCAGAUGAGCCUAGGUCGGAUUAGCUAGUUGGUGGGGUAAAGGCCUACCAAGGCGACGAUCCGUAACUGGUCUGAGAGGAUGAUCAGUCACACUGGAACUGAGACACGGUCCAGACUCCUACGGGAGGCAGCAGUGGGGAAUAUUGGACAAUGGGCGAAAGCCUGAUCCAGCCAUGCCGCGUGUGUGAAGAAGGUCUUCGGAUUGUAAAGCACUUUAAGUUGGGAGGAAGGGCAGUAAGUUAAUACCUUGCUGUUUUAACGUUACCAACAGAAUAAGCACCGGCUAACUUCGUG